CACGUAGGGCGCAAGCGUUGUCCGGAAUUAUUGGGCGUAAAGAGCUCGUAGGCGGACUGUCACGUCUGCUGUGAAAAGCUGGGGCUUAACCCUGGCCUUGCAGUGGAUACGGGCAGACUAGAGGUAGGUAGGGGAGAAUGGAAUUCCCGGUGUAGCGGUGAAAUGCGCAGAUAUCGGGAGGAACACCGGUGGCGAAGGCGGUUCUCUGGGCCUUACCUGACGCUGAGGAGCGAAAGCGUGGGGAGCAAACAGG
rnacentral:rRNA from 1 species